UACAGAGGUCUCAAGCGUUGUUCGGAUUCAUUGGGCGUAAAGGGUUCGUAGGCGGCGCGGUAAGUCGGGUGUGAAAUCUCGGAGCUUAACUCCGAAACUGCAUUCGAUACUGCCGUGCUCGAGGACUGGAGAGGAGACUGGAAUUUACGGUGUAGCGGUGAAAUGCGUAGAUAUCGUAAGGAAGACCAGUGGCGAAGGCGGGUCUCUGGACAGUUCCUGACGCUGAGGCACGAAGGUCAGGGGAGCAAACGGG
rnacentral:rRNA from 1 species